rnacentral:rRNA from 1 species
ACGGAAGGCAGCAGUGGGGAAUAUUGCACAAUGGGGGAAACCCUGAUGCAGCAAUACCGCGUGAGGGACGAAGGCUUUAGGGUUGUAAACCUCUGUCCAAAGGGACGAAUUUUGACGGUACCUUUGAAGGAAGCUCCGGCUAACUACGUGCCAGCAGCCGCGGUAAUACGUAGGGAGCAAGCGUUGUCCGGAUUUACUGGGUGUAAAGGGUGCGUAGGUGGUUUUGUGGGUCAGACGUGAAAUUUGAAAGCUUAACUUUUAAACUGCGUUUGAAACUACAGGACUUGAGUUGAGUAGGGGCAGAUGGAAUUCCCGGUGUAGCGGUGAAAUGCGUAGAGAUCGGGAGGAACACCAGUGGCGAAGGCGAUCUGCUGGACUUUUACUGACACUGAGGCACGAAAGCGUGGGUAGCAAACAGGAUUAGAUACCCUGGUA